AGUAAGAAGCCAGACUCUUGUCUGUUGGAGGCAAGUAUGAACGUUGCAGUUGGCCACCUUGAUUAUUGGUUUCAAGGUCUCGUUUGUUACUGCCUCAGGGAAUCCUUUGUUGGGGGACGAUUAGCUGUCCAACGAAGGAUUCCCCCAGGCACUAAGAAGCCAGACUCUUGUCUGUUGGAGGCAAGUAUGAACGUUGCAGUUGGCCACCUUGAUUAUCGGUUUCAAGGUCUCGUUUGUUACUGCCUUCAGGAAUCCUUUGUUGGGAGUUGAUUAGCUGUCCAACAAAGGAUUCCCCCAGGCAGUAAGAAGCCAGACUCUUGUCUGUUGGAGGCAAGUAUGAACGUUGCAGUUGACCACCUUGAUUAUCAGUUUCAAGGUCUCGUUUGUUACUGCCUCAGGUAAUUCUUUGUUGGGGGACGAUUAUCUGUCCAACAAAGGCUUCCCCCAGGCAGUAAGAAGCCAGACUUGUCUGUUUGAGGCAAGUGGGAAUGUUGCAGUUGUGUCCUGAUUUGCCCUUCAAGUAUAGCCUUAAUACAAUGUUGAAAGUAAAAGAAAAAUACUUUACUUCAGUAAACACAAAAAACAACAACAGCAAAUGCAGUUGAAAAAUGCAAAAGAAAGCAAGGAAGUCUUAACGCAGACACAAAACUCAGCAGUCUUACAUCAGACAACGAGCAAUGAUCACUAAACCCUUAGAAGCAGACUCAAAGCAGGUACAAUUGGAGCAAAGACAUCAGCAUCAGAGUCAUUUGUUACCAGCUAACUGCUCCUGCUCCUGAUUUAUUGCCCUGAAUUCACUAUUUAGAAGGUGCUAAGGUGGCUCCCAAUUAGCUCAGCGUUUCUAGCAGCUAGCAGAGCUGAACGCCGUCUAUGCUCUUUUUCCUUUCCAGAAAUGUGGGCACUUGCAAGACUUCAUUGUCUGAUUCCAAUCCUUCUGAUUCCUGAACACUUUCCUGCUCCCCUUCCUCUUUUGAAGAUGACAAAUCCCUAACAAAUAAUAAUAAUAAUAAUAAUAAUAAUAAACCUUAUUUAUACCCCGCUACCAUCUCCCGCAGGACUCGGUGCGGCUUAGAAGAGGCCGAGCCCAAAUAACAACAACAAUAAAACACAACGACAACAAUACAACAGUAAAUAACUCAUAAACAAAGCAAAACAACAACAACAACAUCACAAUGCAUUUAAAAACCUGAGGCAGGGCCAAAUGUAAUGAUUAAAAAUUUGAAAAAUGCUAUAACUAGAAUUAAAAAUGCUAUAACUAGAAUUGAAUAACCUUGCAUCUUCAAAACCUGGCUGCUUCCUGCUGGGGGAAUCCUUUGUUGGGAGGUGUUAGCUGGCCCUGAUUGUUUCCUGUCUGGAAUUCCCCAGUUUUGUGAGUGUUAUAUGCAACAGACAAGACAUUAUUCCACAGAUAUAUCAACCCCACUUGCCUAGUUUCCAACCUCAAAACCCCUGAGGAUGCCUGCCGUAGAUGUGGGUGAAACGUCAGGAGAUAAUGCUUCCGGAACACGGCCAGACAGCCCAGUAAUACUCACAGCAACCCAAUUAAAUAGAGAUCGUUGAGAUGAAUUGAACCCGCCUUCCCUUGGCGAAAAGAGGGGGUUCUCCACCCCAUCUUCCUUGAUCUCCCCAGUUCUGCUCUUUAGUCUGGUUCAUCCUUUCCCUCCUUUCCUUUCUUCAUUACACAAAGUAGCUCCUCCACGCUGCUCUAUCCCUGCCCUAUCCUUCCCCUCACCUCGAGUUAAUGAGAUUGUACUUUUUUUCUUACUGGGAAAUGAAAAUGUCUGUAACUGCUGUACAAAUUGCUGUUGAAACAAACACACACGCACCCCUGAGCUGUUGAAAAAAAUCCAAGCAUUCUGCAUGUGACUGACGUCCCACUCGCCACAGUUGUUGUCCUCAAAAGUGAUGGUGGCACGUGGGUGCAGAGCACUCAAACACAAAAGCACACACACACACACACAGUCCCACCGCUCUUGGGUCGCCAGAGGACUUGCCGUGUCCCAGGAGGACACAAGAAACUUGGGGUUCUCCUGAUUUGUUGAAUUUUGAUGCUUAGGGAACGGAGGAUUGUAUCACGUUUUCUUACCUUGUUCCUCGAGGCACUCCAAAGAUUCUGGAAUGGCUCAUCCCCUUGCAGUGCUCAUAUACGCCUGUGCAGUCUGGUUGUGUCAAAGUGACAUUGUACACCAUGCAAAUGUGUUGUCGAACGCUUUCAUAGCCGGAAUCACUGGGUUGUUGUAAGUUUGCUGUAAGUUUCUUGAUGUUUCACCUGGAUCUGUGGCAGGCAUUCUCAGAGGUUGUGAGGUCUGUUGGAAACUAGGCAAGUGGGGUUUAUAUAUCUGUGGAAUGAUGUCCAGGGUGGGAGAAAGAACUCUUGUCUGUUGGGGGUAGGUGUGAAUGUUUCAAUUGGCCACCUUGGUUAGCAUUUAAUGGCCUAGCAGUUUCAAGGUGUGGCUUCUUACUACCUGGGAGGUAUCCUUUGUUGGGAGGUGAUUAACUAUCAGGGAAAAUCCUUUGAUGUUAGGUGAUUACCUGUCUGGGGGAAUCCUUUGUUGGGAGGUGAUUAGCUGUCUGGGGGAAUCCUUUGUUGAGAGUUGAUUAGCUGUCUGGAGGAAUCCUUUGAUGGGAGGUGAUUAGCUGUCUAGGGGAAUCCUUUGUUGGGAGGUGAUUAACUGUCUGGGGGAAUCCUUUGUUGGGAGGUGAUUAGCUAUCUGGGGGAAUCCUUUGUUGGGAGGUAAUUAGCUGUCUGGGGGAAUUCUUUGUUGGGAGUCGAUUAGCUGUCUGGGGGAAUCCUUUGUUGGGAGGUGAUUAGCUGUCUGGGGGAAUCCUCUGUUGGGAGGUAAUUAGCUGUCUGGGGGAAUCCUUUGUUGGGAGUCGAUUAGCUGUCUGGGGGAAUCCUCUGUUGGGAGUUGAUUAACUGUCUUAAGGAAUCCUUUGUUGGGAGGUGAUUAGCUGUCUGGGGGAAUCCUUUGUUGGGAGGUGAUUAGCUGUUCAACAAAGGAUUCCUCCAGGCAGUAAGAAGUCACCCUGGACAUCAUUCUAGAGAGAUAUAUAUACCCCGCUUGCCUAGUUUCCAACAGACCUCACAACCUCUGAGGAUGCCUGCCAUAGAUGUGGGCGAAACGUCAGGAGAGAAUGCUUCUAGAACAUGGCCAGACAGCCCAGAAAACUUACAACAACCCAUCAUGCAAAUAUCGUGUGAAAGAGCUGGGAGAUGUAGGAUUGAUAUUGGAUUCAGGUCUUCUCUCUAGCUACGGAAACUUAUCUAGAUGGGCAGCUUAACUAGCAGGGACCCUUUUUCCUCCCAGUGGAUUGAUGAUCCCCCAAAUGGAAGAUGUAGUGCAUCAAGGAAAGCAUAGAUUGCGUCCUAUUUCUCCAAACUUUGUUCGUAUGGAGCUUGGGUCAGAAGUAGAGCCCACAGUUGACCAGCUGUGCUGUAUGCAAGCCUGUUAGAUAUGGAGGCAAAAAAUUGGAAGGUAAUAGUAUUAGAUGUAGGCCUAGUCAAUCCAUGGUUCUAAAUGGUUCUAAAGUACUUACAAAACUAAAGUUCUGGUGGUGAAAAUUUCAGAACUCUAACAAAAGUUGUAAAAUUUCAUUCUAAAUGGCAGUUCCUAAUUGGUUCUAUCAUAAAAACCACCAAUAAUGAAAUAAUAAUUAAAUUUUGAGAGUUUUGUUAGAGUUCUGCAAUUUUCACCGCUAGGUGAAAAUUUCAGAACUCUAACAAAACUCUCAAAAAUUCAUUAUAAGUGGCAGUUCCUAAUUGGUUCUAUCAUAAAAAUCACCAAUAAUGAAAUAAUAAUUAAAUUUUGGGAAUUUUGUUAGAGUUCUGAAAUUUUCACCACCAGAACUUUAGUUUUGUAAGUACUUUAGAACCAUUUAGAACCAUGGAUUGCUAUGUAUCUUGAAGGAAUAAGGAGGGAUACAAGAAUGCCAGUUGUAUUUUAUUUAGCGGCAACACCUCCCGGCGGCUUCGGAGAGGGGGACCCCUUUCUCUUUCCCCUCUUUCAAGACCCUCCUCUCUGCACUGAAGGCCUUUGGCUCAGCUCUUACAUCUGUUACGUUACUGCUGUGUUUGAAUACCGUGAAGCGACCUCUUUGUGCCCGGCAGGCUUUUAAAAUGGGAAACAAAACAAAAAAAUUGACAGGAGAGAAAAUGUACAUAGACCGAGGGAACAAUGAAGACUACUAAUGAAGCUUGUGCGUUUGUGUGCGUUUGUGUGUACUGUGCGUGCAGCGUUAAAUUAUGGUCGUGCCAAGGGAAUGGAAGAGACGAGGCUCAAGAUGGAAAGACAUACAAUAAAUGCAAUUUGGUGUGGUAUUAUUAAUAAAAGAGCACAAAGUCCAAACUCCAA